rnacentral:lncRNA from 1 species
AGAGCGCUCCAGGCUGGGUUCCCGGGCCCCGCCGCGCCGCCUCCUUCCCAGCUCGCCCGCCCAGGCCUGGCCUCCUGCUUUUCCAUUUGAUUCCCUGCCUCUUUCUAUUCGGACUGGAAUGCCGGGCCAGGCUCCGGGGCGCGCCGCUGCGGCAGCCGCACCUCGCAGGUCCCCCGGCCGACCCCGACGCGGAAGCGGCGGCCCUCCUCGCCGUCGGGGAGCCAGGGAGCCGGGGACGAGACAGGUUCUCGCUAUGUUGCCCAGCCUGAGGCUGGGCAGCCCCGAGUCAUCCCAAACUCCUGGGCUCCAGCAAUCAUCCCACCUUGGCCUCCCAAAGCGCUGGGACAACAGGCGUGAACCACUGCACCCAAUGUUUACAUUCCUGAUCUCCUUUAAUCGCCACCAUAACUAUCAGCUGGUACAUGCUAUUAUCUCCUUUUUUGCAGAUCAGUCACAUAAGGCUUAGAGGAUCAAGGAUCCUGCCCAGAUGACUUACCGAAAUGUUACAGAUUAAGUUGGUGUGGUAACCUGGGCUGAGCACUCUGGGAGAGGAAGAGAAGAGAGAAGACAGGAAACAACUGAACUAUGACCAAUCCCAGCACGGAGGCCCAGAAAACUUUAAGAUUUGAGUAUUAAUGUCUCAAGGUCAGGAGCAACCUCAAGGCUAAAACUCAGAUCUCAGGACUCAAUUUCACAGAAGUUCCACUAUAAAGGCAAUAAUCUAAAGCUUUAAAUGAUAUGAAAAUUUUGUAAUAAGAGUUCAGUAUUUCUGCCAACAUUGGCGCAUGGAUUGCAAAGUUCACAGGAUUGAAAACACCAUCGACAUAAUGGAAAUUGAACAGCAUCUGAUUACUGAGUGCUAUAUCAGCAAGUUAAAAGGAUCUUUUGCAUACCUUUUAAUGGUAUAUAUCCUAAAACUGAAGUGUUCAAUAUAGACAUCCAGAUUGAAACUCAGGCAGUGAAUUACAUACACAACAAAUCAGUUGAACAUGGCAGAGCUUGUCAGACUUAUGAAAGAUUAAAUACAUUUUACAUUUCCACAAGUGUGGUAUUCACAGGUCUAAAUUGGAAAAUUCUUGGGUUGAAGAAGAAUAAUCAUAAUCUUAGCUUCACUCAUUGAGGAAACAUUAUUCAGGGAUGAUAAGAGGUAAAAUCUUAAAAAUAUUGACAAGCUAAUGAGAGAACUUUGAGGUAAGCUGAUAUGCAGGUAUAGUUAGGACUGGGAAAAGCAAGAAAAUGGAAGGAUGGGUUAGAGGGUGGCACUACACGGCUGAUAUAGUUUGGAUAUCUGUCCCCAUCCAAAUCUCAUGUUAAAUUGGAAUCCCCAAUUCUGGAGGCAGAGCUAGAAGGCAGAGCCUGGUGGAAGGUGUUUGCAACAUGAGGAAGGAUCCCUCAUGGCUUGGUGCUGUCUUAACAAUAAUGAGUGAGUUCUCCCGAGAUCUAGUCAUUUAAAAGGGUGUGGCACCUCCCCCCCCCCCCGCCCCCGCCAACUCUCUCUUGCUCCUACUCUGCCAUAUGAAUGUUUGUUCCCCCUUUGCCUUCAGCCAUGAUUAGAAGCUUCAUUAGGACUCCUCAGAAGUAGAUGUUGGUGCCAUACUUCCUGUAUAGCCUGUAGUACCAUGAACCUCUUCGCUUUAUAAAUUACCUGGUCUUGGGGAUUUCUUUAUAGCAAUGCAAGAAUGACCUAAUACAGAAAACUGGUACUGAGAAGUGAGUCAUUGCUGUAGAGAUACCUGAAAAUGUGGAAGCAGCUUUGGAACUUGGUGACAGGCAGAAGUUGGAAGAGUUUGUAGGGCUCAGAAGAAGACAGAAAGAUGAGGGAAAGUUUGGAAUUUCUUAGGGACUGGUUAAAUGGUUGUGACCAAAAUGCUGAUAGCUAGGACAUGAACAGAAUGCACCCAAGCACUUUGCUAAGGUCACACAAUGUUAACGCCUUAGCAAAGAGCUUAGCUGCCUUCUGUUCAUGCCCUAGGAAUCUGUGGAAGUUUGAACUUGAGAGUGAUGAUUUAGGGUAUCUGGCAGAAGAAAUGUCUAAGCAGCAAAGUGAUCAAGAAGUGGUGUGGCUGCUUCUAGCCACUUAUAUUCAGAUGUGGGAGCAAAGACAAAAGGUAGAACUUAUAUUUAAAAGGGAAGCAGAGCAAAAAAAGUUUGGAAAAUUUGCAGCCUGGCCAUGUGGCAGAGAAAGAAAAAAGCUUUUUCAGUAGAGGAAUUCAAGCAGACUGUGGAACAAUUACUUGCUAGAGAUGUUUGCAGGAUUAAAGGGGAGCCAAGUGCUACUAUCCAAGACAAUAGGGAAAAAGCCUUGAAAGCAUUUCAAAGAACUUCAGAGUGGCUUCUCCCAUCACAGGCCCAGAAGCUUAGGAGGAGAGAAUAGAUUCAUGGACUGGGCCCAGGGCCAUGGUACCUUGCACAGCCUUGGGACACUGCUCACCACAUCCUAGCUGCUCCUGUUCCCACUCUUGCCAUGGCUCAAAGGGGCCUACAUACAGCUUGGACUGCCACUUUGGAGAAUGCAAACAGUAAACCUUGGUAGCUUUCAUGUGGUGUUAAGCCUGCAGGCACACAAAGUGCAAGAAUCGUGGAUUCUUGGCAGCCUCUGCCUAGAUUUCAGAGGACAUAUGGAAAAGUCUGUUUGUCCAGGCAGAAGCCUGUUACAGGGGUGGAGCCCUUACAAAGAACCUCUACUAGGGCAGUAUAGAGGGGAAAUGUGGGGUUGGAGGCUCCAACAGGGUCACCGCUGGGGCACUGCCUAAUGGAACUAUACGAAGUGGGCCACUGCCCUCCAGACCUAAGGAUGAUAGAUCUACCAGCAGCUUGUAUUCUGCACCUGGAAAAGCCACAGGCACUCAACUGCAGCCCAUGAGCGCAGCCUUGGAUUCUUUACCCUGCAAAGCCAUAGGGGCAGGACUGCUCAAGGCCUGGGGAGCCCACCCCUUGUACCAGUGUGGCCUGGAUGUGGAACAUGAUGUCGAAGAUUAUUUUGGAACUUUAAGAUUUAGUGACUUCCCUACUGGGUUUUGGAGCUGUGUGGAUCCUGUAGACCCUUUCUUUUGGCCAAUUUCCCCCUUUUUGGGAUGGAAACAUUUACCCAAUCCCUAUACCCCCAUUGUAUCUUGGAAGUAAAUAAUUUGUUUUUGAUUUUACAGGCUUAUAGGUGAAAGUGACUUCCCUUGUCUCCAAUGAGGCUUUGGACUUUGGACUUUUGAGUUAAUGCCAGAAUGAGUUAAGAUUUUGGGGGCCUAUUGGAAAGGCAUGAUUGUAGUUUGCAAUGUGAGAAGGACAUGAGAUUUGGAGAGGCCAGAGGUGGAAUGGUAUAGUUCAGAUAUUUGACCCAGCCCAAAUCUCUUGUUGAAUUGUAAUCCCCAAUGCUGGAGGUGGGGCCUUCCUUGUAUGAUGUGUUUGGAACAUGCAGGCAAAUUCCUCAUGGCUUGGUGCUGUUUUCAUGAUAGUGAGUGAGUUCUCCUGAGAUGUGGUCAUUUAAAAGUGUAUGGCACCUCCCCCCACUCUCUAUCUCUCUUGCUCCUGCUCUGCUAUAUGAGACACCUGUUCCCCGUUUGCCUUCCACCAUGAUUGAAAGCUUUGUGAGACCUCCUCAGAAGCCAAGCAGAUGCCAGUGCCAUGCUGCCUGUAUAGCCUGCAGAACCACAAGCCAAGUAAACCUCUUUUCUUUAUAAAUUACUUAGUCUCAGAUAUUUCUUUACAGCAAUGUAAGAAUGGCCUAAUACAAUAGCCUAAACUAAUUUGAGGGAGGUGAUGUGUCUCUUGCUACACAAAGUAUGGUUCAUGGACUAACAGCAUUGGCGUCACCAGGAGGUUGUCAGAAGUACAGACUUUCAGUUCCCUUCCCAGACCUAAUAAAUCAGACUCUCCAAAAAGUUUUGGGAGCACUGCUCCAGCCAAUGACUUGUGGUAGAAUUCUGUUUUUGCCUCAACAGCAUCCAUUCUCCUUUCAGUAACAACUCCUAGCUUCUACUUUGGGGAACUUUCCAUCUCCCACACUCAGACCUAGGGUUCAGAUGUGGCUAACCUAGCCCUGUGCAGCCAGAGGAAGGCACAUGAUCCAGGCCUGGCCAAUGACAGUGCCUUAUGACCCAGCCAGAGUGACUGGUUCAGCAAAGAGGGUGUAAUAUGAGCUGAGCCAAUGAGACUUAGUCCUGGUACUUUUGGGAAAGAAAUGCUCCCCUUCCUGAGUUUGCUGAGCUGAUAAGAUAUUCAUCUACAGCAGCCAUCUUUCCACUACCUGAGAAUGAAGCCAACAUAGGAAAAUGGAGCUGAGAAAUGAGAGAGAUCCUAACAAAUUCAUUUAUCCACUCACUACCGGAUCUAAAUCCUGGGCUUUUUAGUAACUCAAGCCAGUAUAGUCUUCAUUUCUUUGGCCAGUUCAAACUGGAUGUCUACUAGUUACAACUGAAAGAAUCCUAAUACAUCAGUCUCUUCCUGUCCCUGAAAUUCAUUAGGCUCAUUUUGAAUCUUUGAUAUUUCCUUUUCCUCUCUUCUUUGUCUGUGUUUAAUCCAUUUUGCAUUGCUGUAAAGGAAUACCUGAGACUCGGUAAUUUAUAAAGAAAAGAGAUUUAUUUGGCGCACAGUUCUGCAGGCUACACAAGCAUGGCACCAGCAUCUGCUCAGCUUCUGGUGAGGCCACAAGAAGCUUUAACUCAUGGCGGAAGGCGGAGGGAGAGCAGGUGUGUCAUAUGGCGAGAGAGGGAGCAAGAGAGAGGGGAGGGAGACUUCUCUUUUUUUGGCAAUCAGAUCUCGUGGUAACUAAUAAAGCAAAAAUUAAUUCAUUACUGUGGCAAGGACACCAAGCCAUUCCAAAAAGAUUCACCCCCAUGACCCAAACACCUCCCACCAGGUCCCACCUCCAGUGUUGGAGAUCGCAUGGGAGACAAAUAUCCAAACUAUAUCACUCCUCUCUAAACCAGUUUAGAGGGUUCAAACUUUGCCUUCUCCAGAUUUGCCUCUUCCCUGAGACCUUCCCUGAUAGCUUCCCACACAUACUGCUCUCCCCAGUCCAUCAAUGAAUUCCUGCAUCCAGGUGGCUAAUGGUUCCAUACUUACCCUUCAGCUGUGACCAGUUUUGUGUCCACCUCUGUCUUCCUCCCUCUUUUUGCUUAGAUGACACCCACUCAACCUCUAGAUGUCCCCUGCUACAGGUGGGAUGCCCUUGUUAUAUGUUCUUAUAGCACCACCUGUCUUCCCUUCAUGGCACUUAUAUUUGUAAAUGUAUUCAUGCCAUAGAGUACUGCAUGAAGGCAGUCGAGUGGGUGGUUCAAACGUAGACCCUGGUGUCAGCCUGCCUGGACUAGCUAUAUGACCUUGGGCAAGUUUCUUAACCUCUCUAUACCUCAAUUUCCUUACUUAUCAGGUGAAGAUAUUAAGAGUACCUCCUCAGAGUGUGAUUUUGUUAAUUUAUGUAAAGUACUGAGAACAUGCCUGGCAUGUAAUAGGCACUGUAUAAGUGAUAUCUAUUAUUAUUGUACAUGGGAUUAUUUGAUGUCUGUAUCCCAUCCCCCAUCAGACAUGAAAAAAUAGGUCUGCUUUUGAUCACCAUUUUACACUUAAAGAAAAGGGUCAGGCUGGGCAUGGUGGCUCACACUUGUAAUUCCAGCCCUUUGGGAGGCUGAGGCAGGUGGAUUGCUUGAGCCUAGGAGGGAGGGAGGGAAAGAAAGGAAGAAAGAAAGAGAGAGAGGGGGAGAGAGAGAGAGAAAGAAAGAAAGAAAAGAAAUAAAAGAAAGAAAGAGGAAAAAGGGAAGGAGGGAGGGAGGGAAAGAGAAAGAGAAAAGAGGGAGAGAGAAAGAAAAAGAAAAGAAAGAAAGAAGGGAGGGAGGGAGGGAAAGAAGGAAGGAAGGAAGGGGAAGGGGAAGGAGAGGUCCAUAGGAGUAGCCAAUAAAUUGAAUACUGAAUAUUUGGACAAUUGCCUCUCUCUAAGUGCUCUAGAAGCUUCUAGAGGGAAGGAAUCUUGUCUUAUACAUUAAAAAAAAAAAAAAAAAGUCUUAUCCAGUCUGAAGUACGGUGCCUGGCACAUUAAUUCCUUUCCUCUUUUCCCCUCACUGCCAAAUGAGCUAUUGCCACUCACUUGAUAUGCAAACACUGGCUGUCUAGUAUGGAAAAAUAUUUUUCUGGCUGUAGACUUGAGUUUGAUUACCAAAUUGAUUUCUGUGAAUUACAUUUCAAUUCUGUGCAGAACUUUUUGACAGCCCUUUAAUCACCAUGUAUCCAAUAAAUAUUUAUUAAAGACAUAUUCUGUGCCAGACACUGUGUGAGGCACUUGCCAUCCUGGGAUAAAAGAAGGUGGAAUCAGCGCUUACAUAACUCAAUUUCUAAUGCAGCAUACAUUGGCAUUGUUAAUUAAUGUCUUUGCUACUUUUUGUGUGCUAUUAGUAUAAGGAUAAGAUAACUUUGGCAUGAGUAUCAAAUUAGAAUUCCUACAAUGGAAACUACAUCUAAAACCAUGGGGGUAUUUACGGGUGGUUAAGAUUCCCUAAGUUAGCCAAGUAGGGUGGUACACGCCUAUAGUCCCAUGUACUUGGGAGGCUGUGACGAGAGGAUCACUUGAGCCCAGAAGUUCGAGGUCAGCCUAGCUGACAUAGUGAGACACCAUCUCUAUUAAAAAAUAAUAAUAAUAAAAGUUGUUUAAGCCUUUGAACAAUUGGCAUAUUGUGAACUGCCAAGUAAAAGGCCAUUGAAGGAUUUUUAAGCUAAGUUGGAACGUGAUUAGAUUUUUAUUUGAUAAUACCUUUUGAUUAACUGAAAGAAUGGAUUCCUCUAGUUGGCUACACUCUGGGGAAAGAGGGUUAAAAGAUAGCAACAUUUUUCUUGGUGAGGCCAGUUAGAAAUCUGUGGUGAGAGAGUCCCACAGUUGUUGAUAGUCUGAAUUUAGGGGAGUAGCCGUGGACAAAGAGAGGUGGACAUACUGAAGACCUUUUUUGGAGGUAGUCAGCUGAAUUUGUGAUUGACUGGGAUGAAGGACAAGGGCUAGUCCCAGAUUUCUGAGAUUUCUGACUGGAAUGAAGAGAUAUGUCAUUUUGGGUUUUUUGUUUUGUUUUGUUUAACAAUUGGGAAUGCUGAAGGAGAAGGUUCAGGUGAGGUAAUGAGGGAGAAAUGAGUUUGGUUCAGAAAUGUCGACUUUGAGAUAACCGUGAAACACCUGAAUCAUUAUAUCAAGUAAGCCCUUCACUAUACACAUGUAGGGCUCAGAAGAAAAGUCUGCACUGUAGAAAUAAAUCUAAGAGUGAUUAAUAUAUAGAAGAUAAUGGAGGACAUGCAAUUAUGGAUUAAAAUGCCCAAAGAGUGUCAAGUGAGAUACAGACAAGCGUGUAGUCAUGAAGAGCUCCACCAUGCAGAGAGCAGGUGGAUAAAGAGUUACCAAUGAAAAUCAAAAGAGAAAUUCCAAAGUGGCAGAAGAAAAGCCAAAUUGGCCUGGCACAGUGGUUCAUACCUAUAAUCCCAGCAUCUUGGGAGGCUGAGGCAGGAGAAUCGCUUGAGGCCAGGAGUUCGAUACCAGCCUGGGCAACAUAGUGAGAUACCCAUCUCUACAAAAAAAAAAAAAAAAAAUUUAAUUAGCCAGGCAUGGUGGCACAUGCCAGGAGACCUAGUUACUCUGGAGGCUGAGGACAGAAGAUUGCUUGAGCUCAGGAGUUUCAGGCUGCAGUGAGCUAUGAUCACACCACUGCACUCCAACCUGGGUGACAGAGCGAGACCCUGUCUCUAAAACUAAAUGAAUCAAUUUUUUUAAAAAAGAAAGUUGAAAUUAACACACAACAUCCCAAAAGCCAAAGAGUAUUUCAAGAUGGAGGGAAUAGUCAAAUGUAUCAAAUACAGCCAAGUGAUCAAGGAAGAUAAAUAAUAAUAUUAACAAUGGUCACUUCUUGAACAAGACUUUAAGAUGCAUUUAAUCCUUUUGAUGACCCAUGAAGGAGGUAAUAUUAAAAUCCCUAUCGCAAGGACCACUUGGGGCCAGGAGUUUGAGGCCAGCCUGGGCAACAUAGCAACACUCUGUCUCUUAAAAAAUAAAAAAAUUAGCCAGGCAUGGUGGCACACACCUGUAGUCCUAGCUACUCGGGAGACUAAGGCUGAAGGAUUGCUUGAGCCCAUGAGUUAGAGGCUGCAAUGAGCUAUGAACAUACCACUGCACUCCAGCCUGGAUGAC